rnacentral:lncRNA from 1 species
UAAGGCAUAGGAUGCCACAAGAAUACAACAUCACAAUACAUAAGAGCAUCAUCCGACUACGGAUGAAACACAAACAGAAACUCAAACGACAUCCACCCUGCUAGCCCAGGCUGCCGACCUGGAACCUAUCCCCUGAUUGAAGAAGCAGAAGAAGAACUCAAAGCAAGCAAACAUCGCUCUCGCGUCAUGAUCAUCGCAUAACCUGUACCUGCAACUGUUGUUGUAGUAAUCUGUGAGCCACGAGGACUUAGCAAUCCCAUUACCAUGGGUAUCAAGACUAGCAAAGCUUAAUAGGAAAGGUAGGGGUAAAGUGGUGAGGUUGCAGCAGCGACUAAGCAUACAUGGUGGCUAACAUACGCAAAUAAGAGCGAGAAGAGAGCAAAGAAACGGUCGUCAACUAGCAAUGAUCAAGAAGUGAUCCUGAACUCCUACUUACGUCAAACAUAACACAGAAACCGUGUUCACUUCCCGGACUCCGCCGAGAAUAGACCAUCACGGCUACACACGCGGUUGAUGCAUUUUAAUUCGGAUCUGGUGUCAAGUUAUCUACAAUCGGACAUUAGCAAAUUCCCAUCUGCCUAUAACCGCAGGCACGACUUUCGAAAGAUUAUACCCUGCAGGGGUGUCCCAACUUAGCCCAUGACAAGCUCUCGCGAUCAACGAAGGAAUAGACCUUCUCCCAGGAAGACCCGAUCAGACUCGGAAUCCCGGUUUACAAGACAUUUCGGCAAUGGUAAAACAAGACCAACAAGACCGCCCGAUGCGCCGACAAUCCCGAUAGGAGCUGCACAUAUCUCGUUCUCAGGGCAACACCGCAUAAGCUAAGCGUACAGGAACCAACGUAACCCAAGUUGCCAAGGGAUGGCCCCGCACGGUGCUCUAGUUUGGACCAACACUUAGACAAGCACUGGCCCGGGGGGGCUGUAAUAAAGAUGACCCUUGGGUUAAUUACUCCCAAGGGAAAUAUAGGUGGUGGUGAGGCAAAUAGUAAAAGUCAAUGUUGGGCCUUAUUGGAGGAGUUUUAUUCAAAGCGAACUGUCAAGGGGGUCCCAUAAAUCACCCGACCGCGUAAGGAACGCAAAAUCCGGGAACAUAACACCGGUAUGAGGGAAACUAGGGCGGCAAGAGUGGAACAAAACACUAGGCAAAAGGCUGAGCCUUCCAUCCUUUACCAAAUAUAUAGAUGCAUUAAUAAUAUAAGAGAUAUUGUGAUAUCCCAACCAAAAUCCUGUCCACCAUGGAGAAAUCUUCAACUUCACCUACAACUAACAACGCUAUAAGAGGGGCUAAGCAAAGCGGUAACAUAGCCAAACAAUGGUUUGCAUAGUCAGGGUGUCAAAGGUUAGAGGUUCAUGGCAACAUGGGAUGGCUCGACAAACAGAUGAUAGGUAGCGCAGCAAAGCGAUAGAAUGAAGCAACUAGCAUAGCAAUGAUAGUAGUGAGAUCCAGGGUAGCGGUCAUCUUGCCUGAAAUCCUGCUAGGAAGAAGAACGAGUCCAUGAAGAAGACGAAAGAGAGCAGUCGAACGUAUCCUCAUGAACGCAACGUUACCGGAACUAAGAAGCAACACCGGAAAGAAACAAACAACAUGGUAAAUACACAAGCAUAAUCAUGGCAAGAUGCACAAUCAAGUAUGAUGCAUGUCCGGUUUAAUAAGGCAUGGCAUGGCAAAUGCAACCAAACAAUACUACAAGUUAAGUGGAGAUCAAUAUGCAACGAGUUGCAUAUUGACGAAACACCACAUAUAAGUUAUUUAGCUCACUCUCGUUUAGGUACCCAACAAUAUUAAAUGUUGUUAAACAUGGCAAGAGGUGAAGCAUAAGAAAACUCUCUAACUAGGCAAGUUUAAAUGAGGCCGGAAGAACUAACAACAAUUCCGGAAAAUCCCCAUAUGCAAUUUAUGAAUUUGAUACUGUUCUGCCCUAAACACAAUUUUAGAGUUGUUAAACAGUAAAACAAAGUGCAC